rnacentral:rRNA from 1 species
CGCGUAGGUGGUUCGUUAAGUUGGAUGUGAAAGCCCCGGGCUCAACCUGGGAACUGCAUCCAAAACUGGCGAGCUAGAGUAUGGCAGAGGGUGGUGGAAUUUCCUGUGUAGCGGUGAAAUGCGUAGAUAUAGGAAGGAACACCAGUGGCGAAGGCGACCACCUGGGCUAAUACUAACACUGAGGUGCGAAAGCGUGGGGAGCAAACA